ACCUUAAAAAAGAGGGGUCAAAGUUGGCCAGUGAGACGAUGGGGGAUAAACUUCAUCGCCGAGAGGGAAACAACCCGAAUCACCGGCUAAGACCCAUAAAUGACCGUUCAGUGAUAAAGGAGGUAGGGGUACAGAGACAAAAAAAAGGUUUACCUAGAAGCAACCACCCUUGAAAAAGUGCGUAAUAGCUCAUUGAUCGAGCGCUUUUACGUCGAAGAUGAACGGGGCUAAGCGAUCUCAGGUGAAGUAGAUAGAUUAUUUUUGAUAAAAUUCGGUU
rnacentral:ncRNA from 1 species